GUCUGCUCUGGGACUUGGAACAAAAGGGGAAACUCUGAUGAACUCCUUCUCCAGCUCCCUGGACGCCCGAGUAUCUCUUUCUCGCAACUUUGUCAACGCGACUUUCUCCGCUGUCAGGCUGCGCAAAAGUAUCCUAGCGCCUCGCAGGCUGCAACAAUGGAAACAAUGUCCCUUCAAAGUGCGACGAAGUGGAGGGAGAAGGUGUCAUACCAGCGACUCCAAGAGUCAUGUCACCCACUUAGCAGGAGUACUUCUACUGAAAUGCCUUCGAAUUUCUCUUACUGGAUAUAUACCUACCAGCCGCUAGCAUGAAGAUGCCAGGACCGCUGCAAGUUAGCACUGGACAAAGUAGCAUCAACUUCUUCAUUUAGAGUUUCUUCAGUUAAAUUGCUGGGAUUUUCGACAAGGCUUUCCUUAUGUGGAUUAUUGGAGUGUGAUGCCCGAGAAUUCUCUACUUGUAGAAGCACGCCCACGGGACUGCAGAAGCCUUCACACCCACCCAGCACGCUCAGAAAGUACUGUCUUCAACCUUACCAAUGUCAGUGGCGGCGACGGUGGCGUCACCAUCACCAUCAGAGAAAAAGAAAUAUGCCUUUAUGUCAUGAUGGGAAUGAGUGAUGGCCAUCCAGUGACCAGCUGGAUCUGACUGCCUUACAAGACGCAUGUGUAUGAUUAAGAGAGAGACAUUCGUGACUCCCAGAUGUACCUCCUUCCUGUCCCACAGUGUUCCUGAAGGGAGUGAGUUAUGGGGUAACUUAUAACACAGCAGGCUCUUCCUCAAGAUAGCUCUUGUCAAAACAGGAAGACGAAACUCGGGUUUCCAUGAGGAGACCACAGCUUGGGAUCCUGUCUGGAUGUACAAGCAGAAGCAUCUUCAUACUUUUCCAUUUCUAACCAUCAUGCCUCACCCCACCCUCCCAAGGCGACAUCUGCAGAGAGGUGGAACCAUCUAGGGAGGCCUGCCACUGUUUGCUGAGCUCCGGGUGAGGAUGAAGACACUUUGACAUGGCCAGCUUCAGACUCGGGAUCUGUCGGUGUUAGCAGCCGAAGGAGAAUGAGGAGGAAGAGGAGGAGAAAGAGGAGGAGGAAGUAAGACAGAGGGGGACAAGAGGACCAAGAGGGCACAUGGCUGAGGAGGAGGAGAACAACAACAACAACAACAACAACAACAACAACAAGAAGCUUGGUGGUGAAACUUGGAAGCCCUCUCCAGGAUGCAGCAGGUAGCUGAGGAGAAAACGAAGACUGACCAGCCCAGAGCUCAGAGCUUCCUCCCAUGCUCAGGAUUUACCACCAAUGCCAUUACAUCGGCCUCUUCUUGUAUGCCUCUGGAAACCACAUGUGUCCUCUGUUUGUAAUGGUUUGGCUAUGGUUGCUGGCCCCUCUUGGACAUUGUUUUCAGAACUUAAAGAAACAUUGCUUUAAAGAUUUAUUAGAACAUAUUUAAAAUAAAACCAUCUUCUCAUUUA
rnacentral:lncRNA from 1 species